rnacentral:tRNA from 1 species
GUGGGUAUUGCUCAGUGGUACAGUGCAUGCUUAGCAGGCAUGCAGUCCUGGAUUCAAUCCCCAGUGCUUCCA